AGUGAACGCUGGCGGUAGGCCUAACACAUGCAAGUCGAACGGCAGCACAGGAGAGCUUGCUCUCUGGGUGGCGAGUGGCGGACGGGUGAGGAAUACAUCGGAAUCUACUCUGUCGUGGGGGAUAACGUAGGGAAACUUACGCUAAUACCGCAUACGACCUACGGGUGAAAGCAGGGGACCUUCGGGCCUUGCGCGAUUGAAUGAGCCGAUGCCGGAUUAGCUAGUUGGCGGGGCAAAGGCCCACCAAGGCGACGAUCCGUAGCUGGUCUGAGGGGAUGAUCGGCCACGCUUGAACUGAGACACGGUCCAGACUCCUGCUGGAGGCAGCAGUGGGGAAUAUUUGACAAUGGGCGCAAGCCUGAUCCAGCCAUACCGCGUGGGUGAAUAAGGCCUUCGGGUUGUAAAGCCCUUUUGUUGGGAAAGAAAUCCAGCUGGCUAAUACCCGGUUGGGAUGACGGUACCCAAAGAAUAAGCACCGGCUAACUUCGUGCCAGCCGCCGCGGUAA
rnacentral:rRNA from 1 species